AUAAAAGCCGUGACGGGAAUAAGUAAUAUUGUAUCUGAACCUACAGAAAGCAGCCGGUUGAUGAGAGGCGCAGGGAAUAUAUAAUAUGAAUACCUCCCCGAGCUCCGCACCGAAAGUUAUCCGGUAGGCUGCGGCGUAUGCACACGUUACAGUGCCGGGGUAUCGUUGAUUAACCGUACCCGAUGAGACAGCGGAUGUGAAUCCGUUGUAAAUAAAGGUGGUAACACGGCAUGGUCGUCCUUUUG
rnacentral:ncRNA from 1 species